UACGUAGGGUGCAAGCGUUAAUCGGAAUUACUGGGCGUAAAGCGUGCGCAGGCGGCUUUGCAAGACAGAUGUGAAAUCCCCGGGCUUAACCUGGGAACUGCCGUGGAUACUAUCAAUCUUGAAUAUCGUGGAGGUAAGCGGAAUAUGUCAUGUAGCGGUGAAAUGCUUAGAUAUGACAUAGAACACCAAUUGCGUAGGCAGCUUACUACACGAUCAUUGACGCUGAGGCACGAAAGCGUGGGGAGCAAACAGG
rnacentral:rRNA from 1 species